GUGCUACAUUCUCCAACCUGCAGAGUGCAGACACAUACUUCUUCCAGUUCUUUCACCUUCUCCAUCAAUUCCUUCUAACAUUUCUUUUCACUUUUGCUGUUGCUCUUUCCUAUCACUCUUUCUCACCCCGUUUUGCUUAGAUUCUCUCUUGGAUUUUUCUGAUUUUCAAUCAGUGUUGCUCUCAAGGUGGUUUAACACGUACCAACUGAUUCAGGUGUGUCCUUUCACUCUUAUCACUGCUGUUGCAAACUCACAUCUGAAAAAAGAAUAGGUUUCUUGCCACUAACAAUUAGCAAGAAAAAAAAGAUUUUUAAUACAGAAGUGGGCUAAGAUGGAGUAGAAGCAUGCAAGUGAUGGCAACUUGACAAUAAUUAUCACUUCAAAGAGAUGGUACAAGUCACUAAACAAGAAACACUUAGAGAGGCUCAGAUAAAAACUUGGUAGUAAGGUGGAAGGACAUAGCCUUGAAAAUGGUUUUAACUGAAGUUUUCUUUCUGGAAUUUGUUUUGUGUGAGUAGUGAAGCAACAUCUUCAGAUCUUAACUACCAAAGACCACCUAUGAUGUGGUUAGUGUCCUAGACAUUGAGUGAACUUUGCACACCUUUUUAAAACUACCUUUUAGUGGAUUUUAAGUGUUUAUAAACACAGUGUGCUGAAACAGCAAAGUUAAAUUCUCUGUUUCUUGCCUCCGGAUAUUAGCAUGGAUCUAUAAUGUAAUUUUCGAAGUGGUGUUGCUUUAUCAAGGAUAUCCUGUUCCGCACCA